rnacentral:piRNA from 1 species
UACUGGGAUUGGUCAGUCUGCUGG